AGUAUUUAAAAAUUAAUAUGCGCGGGUAAAGAUUAGAGAUAUCCAUAGUAGUGUGUAAUUCUUAGGUUGAAAUAAGGGGAAGGAACUCGGCAAAUUUUAGCUUCGCCUGUUUAUCAAAAACAUGGCUCUUUGGUAUUUAGGUAUAAAGAGUCAAACCUGCCCAGUGAAAUUUUUAACGGCCGCGGUACCCUGACCGUGCAAAGGUAGCAUAAUCAUUUGCCUUAUAAUUGAAGGCUUGUAUGAAUGGUUUAACGAAAGCACUGCUGUCUCCCCCUUAAUAAGUAGAAUUUGACUUUUAGGUGAAGAGGCCUAAAUGUAAUUGAAAGACAAGAAGACCCUGUCGAGCUUGAAAAUUAAGUUAGGAGCGAGAUAUAACAUGCCUUAAAUUUAUUACUAACUAUUUUUUUGGUUGGGGCGACCGAGGAACAAUAAAAGCUUCCUUUUUUGUAUUAACUUAUAGGUGCUGAUCCAGUUAGAGCUGAUUAAAAAAAUUAGUUACCGCAGGGAUAACAGCAUAAUCUCUCUUGAGAGAUCAAAUCGAAAGAGGGGGUUGUGACCUCGAUGUUGGACUAGAAUAUCCUAAAGAUGC
rnacentral:rRNA from 1 species